UACGAAGGGGGCUAGCGUUGCUCGGAAUUACUGGGCGUAAAGGGCGCGUAGGCGGGUCGUUAAGUAGGGGGUGAAAGCCCAGGGCUCAACCCUGGAAUUGCCUUCUAAACUGGCGGCCUUGAGUAUGGCAGAGGUGUGUGGAACUCCGAGUGUAGAGGUGAAAUUCGUAGAUAUUCGGAAGAACACCAGUGGCGAAGGCGACACACUGGGCCAUUACUGACGCUGAGGCGCGAAAAGCGUGGGGGAGCAAACAGG
rnacentral:rRNA from 1 species